CUUUAAAACAUGAACCUGAACCUGUACCGUAUAACUGAAACUAAUCUGUAAAUGACGUGGCACAUGGGUUAGAAGAUGGAUUUCAGAUGCCAUAUGAUCCGGCACACUCUUGCAAUGUAUGAGCCUGGAAGCUGUUGUUUCCCUAUCGAAUAUCCAUUUACAGAGAGCGAAUCCGCUGUCUUCCUCUAUCAGUCGCUUCCAGUCAUUUGCCUUCCCUUAAAGAAUUCCUGGUUGCAGUUUGGGAUACAGAACCUCUGAGAAGUCGGAUAACACCUUAUCAAUCAAUUUGAACUAAACUCCACACCCCCUGGCUGUGCGAAUAGGAUGCAAGUGGAGACUCAGGGCUGUUGAACAGAUCUCUCAAUAGAAACAGCCUUCCGAUUUGUGCUGUGAUGUCACUACAUAGUGUCUCACUGGCACAGGUGUUUGGCAGUGUCUCCAGAUAAUCAAUAAAAACAUUCAAAGCUGUCUGAACAAUCUUGUAUCUUAAAUGAAACAGCCCCUUAUUUAUAUAGCAUCUUUCCCACUGUUUUAGUGACGGUUGUAAAGCAGAUUUCCAGCCAACUUUACUGUAUUUAA